ensembl:snoRNA U3 Small nucleolar RNA U3
AAGACUUUACUUUCAGGGAUCAUUUCUAUAGAAGUUCUAGAAGAAACUAGAGAAGUUUCUCUGUGCAGGUAGAGCACCGAAAACCACCAGGAGGAGGCACAUUCUCUCCUGAACGUGAAGCUGGUCUUGGUGUUACUUUGCAAUUGCCAUUUGGCAUUGAUGGGCGUUCAUUUCCCUCCAGCAAAGUAAGACGGAGAAGAUGCAGCCUGAGUGGU